GACGAACGCUGGCGGCGUGCUUAACGCAUGCAAGUCGAACGGAAAGGCCCUGCUUUUGUGGGGUGCUCGAGUGGCGAACGGGUGAGUAACACGUGAGUAACCUGCCCUUGACUUUGGGAUAACUUCAGGAAACUGGGGCUAAUACCGGAUAGGAGCUCCUGCUGCAUGGUGGGGGUUGGAAAGUUUCGGCGGUUGGGGAUGGACUCGCGGCUUAUCAGCUUGUUGGUGGGGUAGUGGCUUACCAAGGCUUUGACGGGUAGCCGGCCUGAGAGGGUGACCGGCCACAUUGGGACUGAGAUACGGCCCAGACUCCUACGGGAGGCAGCAGUGGGGAAUAUUGCACAAUGGGCGGAAGCCUGAUGCAGCAACGCCGCGUGCGGGAUGACGGCCUUCGGGUUGUAAACCGCUUUCGCCUGUGACGAAGCGUGAGUGACGGUAAUGGGUAAAGAAGCACCGGCUAACUACGUGCCAGCAGCCGCGGUGAUACGUAGGGUGCGAGCGUUGUCCGGAUUUAUUGGGCGUAAAGGGCUCGUAGGUGGUUGAUCGCGUCGGAAGUGUAAUCUUGGGGCUUAACCCUGAGCGUGCUUUCGAUACGGGUUGACUUGAGGAAGGUAGGGGAGAAUGGAAUUCCUGGUGGAGCGGUGGAAUGCGCAGAUAUCAGGAGGAACACCAGUGGCGAAGGCGGUUCUCUGGGCCUUUCCUGACGCUGAGGAGCGAAAGCGUGGGGAGCGAACAGGCUUAGAUACCCUGGUAGUCCACGCUGUAAACGGUGGGUACUAGGUGUGGGGUCCAUUCCACGGGUUCCGUGCCGUAGCUAACGCUUUAAGUACCCCGCCUGGGGAGUACGGCCGCAAGGCUAAAACUCAAAGGAAUUGACGGGGCCCCGCACAAGCGGCGGAGCAUGCGGAUUAAUUCGAUGCAACGCGUAGAACCUUACCUGGGUCUGACAUGGAUCGGGAGUGCUCAGAGAUGGGUGUGCCUCUUUUGGGGUCGGUUCACAGGUGGUGCAUGGCUGUCGUCAGCUCGUGUCGUGAGAUGUUGGGUUAAGUCCCGCAACGAGCGCAACCCUUGUUCACUGUUGCCAGCACGUUAUGGUGGGGACUCAGUGGAGACCGCCGGGGUCAACUCGGAGGAGGGUGGGGAUGACGUCAAGUCAUCAUGCCCCUUAUGUCCAGGGCUUCACGCAUGCUACAAUGGCUGGUACAGAGAGUGGCGAGCCUGUGAGGGUGAGCGAAUCUCGGAAAGCCGGUCUCAGUUCGGAUUGGGGUCUGCAACUCGACCUCAUGAAGUCGGAGUCGCUAGUAAUCGCAGAUCAGCAACGCUGCGGUGAAUACGUUCCCGGG
rnacentral:rRNA from 1 species